UACGUAGGGUGCGAGCGUUAAUCGGAAUUACUGGGCGUAAAGCGUGCGCAGGCGGUUCGUUAAGUUCGAUGUGAAAGCCCCGGGCUCAACCUGGGAAUGGCAUUGGAAACUGGCGGACUCGAGUGUGGCAGAGGGGGGUGGAAUUCCGCGUGUAGCAGUGAAAUGCGCAGAUAUCAGGAAGAACACCCGUGGCGAAGGCGGCUCUCUGGUACGUGACUGACGCUGAGACGCGAAAGCGUGGGGAGCGAACAGG
rnacentral:rRNA from 1 species